AACGAACGCUGGCGGCGCGCCUAAUACAUGCAAGUCGAGCGAGAAGACGUAGCAAUACGUUUGUAAAGCGGCGAACGGGUGAGGAAUACAUGGGUAACCUACCCUCGAGUGGGGAAUAACUAGCCGAAAGGUUAGCUAAUACCGCGUACGCUCCUUGGACUUCGGUUCAGGGAGGAAAGCGAUACCGUGGGUAUCGCGCUCAUGGAUGGGCUCAUGUCCUAUCAGCUUGUUGGUGAGGUAACGGCUCACCAAGGCUUCGACGGGUAGCUGGUCUGAGAGGACGAUCAGCCACACUGGCACUGCGACACGGGCCAGACUCCUACGGGAGGCAGCAGUAAGGAAUAUUGCGCAAUGGGCGAAAGCCUGACGCAGCGACGCCGCGUGGGGGAUGAAGGUCUUCGGAUUGUAAACCCCUUUCGGGAGGGAAGAUGGAACGAGCAAUCGUUCGGACGGUACCUCCAGAAGCAGCCACGGCUAACUUCGUGCCAGCAGCCGCUGUAAC
rnacentral:rRNA from 1 species